CUUGCAUUUUAACGAGGCGAAUGGAACGCAUGAUGAUUGAAUUAAAUUGAACACGCAGGUACAAACGUAUGGAUAAACGCGAUUCCAUACGGUUCGAGACCUAGCCUUCCGUAACCCUCCCGACUAUCCAAAAGCAUAUAAUUUUCCACCAUACUCGUACUAUCUAGUAAAGGCUCUAUUCACCAAUGAGGAAGUGGCAUUUUAUUCUCAAGAGGGGCAAAGAAAUUGAUUCAAAUUUAGAGUUGGUGUCAUCAUGUUGCCCGGUAGAUGUUGAAUGAUAUACGUUUAAUAGUAUCCAUUAGGACAUGAUUUAUAAUGUUUGCAUUUAGUACUUUCCUCGCUUUGUGUGCUGAAAAGUUUCGUUAUUCACUCGGAAUCAAAGUUUGUUUAAGCCUCGCAACGCUCAAGAUUUUUCGAACCACUCGCUACGCUUGGUUUGAUAUUGGAUUUUAUCGCUUGCCCUGGUAUAUAAACACGAGUUAAACAACAUCUUUGCCCUCUUGUAAAACAAUAGUAUAUUACGAUACAAGUGCGAAAAGUAGGAAAUUUCCCUUUCAAUUUUCGACAUACGCACGUAUAGUGCUAGUUACCGCACUAGGACGGUAAAUUAGCACCUUAUCAUAGCAUAUAUGUACUGUACAUAAAUAACUAUUACAGUAUUACCUACACAUGGUGCUACUUUCACAAGUGCGGGAAAGAGCACUUUCCGUGCGUAUGUCGGAAGUUUAAAGAGCCAUAUGUACUAUAAAACAUUGUACGAUACACGUGCGAAUAGGUAAUUCGCAACUCAUGUCGAAUUUCCUUUUUUUCGGACUCGUAUCGUCAAUAACUAACUAUACACACACAUAUAUAUCUUGAAUGUUUACGUAGUGUACCUGCGCCAAUGCCAAUGCGUAAUUUUUUUUUCUCAUGUUGAAUAUUAACUUGCAAUUUUGUCUAUGAUACCAUCGCAAACAGUUAGCUGACAGUUCGUAAACCUUAUUACAAAAGGCAUAAGGUCCACCGAUGGACAGUGUUGCUAUGAAGUGCUGAUAUUUGUACUAGCGGACAUGGACAAAAAAUUUGAACCCAUUCACACGUAAAAGUAUGAAAUUUAGAAUCUAUUAUUCAUCAAUAUAAUCAUUUAUUCAAUGAAUGAAGGCAAGCUUAAGAACCGGACAUUCUUUGGCGCAGGGACAGUCACCGACGAUAAUCUGUUAAUCUUCGAAGGCCGUUAUGUGGCACGGUCUUCUUUACAAAUAACAUGUUGCCAGAUAUUUUUCGGCCUUCGUUGUGUAACAUAUUAUUGCAGGUGACUGUAGGUACUUUAAACGUUAUGUGCCCGAAUUGAUACACUAGGCGCACUUUUAAAUGUCUUACCUAUACAGGGUGACUGAUAUGACAGUGAAAACUAAGGCAUAGGGUAAUUCCCCAGUAACUGGUUUAAGUAUAAGGUUUCAAUAACUGGGCACAUUAUACUAAAAUGAAUUCUAUUUAUAGGUGAAUAGAAUUCAUUUUAAGUUUAGGGUGGUCAGUUAUUAAAAAUGGCCAGUUACUGGUGAAUUACCCUAAUUGGUUCUUAACUUUGAACCACAAGGCGAAUUCGUAGAUUAAAAAACAUUUUGUACAUGAUAUCCAGAAAAAAGACGAUUAUCUUUCUGCAGAAAGCACUGGCAAAAUAUGACUAAAUGCGACAGUUCUUGGUCGUAUAUACAUGGUUCAAUAAUAAUAAUAAUACAUACACGGUGUAACAUGAGUAAACCGAAUAAUUUUAACCACGCAUUUCUGAGGUCAAAAGAAGUAAAAAAUGUAAUGAGUAGGUCAAUUUCGCAAAAAAAAAAAAUGUUGUUUUGUUUUUUCAAUUUUUUUAAUGUAUUUGCACAUAAAUAAUAAAUGUUAUUGGUAAACUUGUCACUUAAAAUUGAUUUUUACAUUUUUUUUUCGUAGAACCUAUUUUUUGCAAAGUGUUACUUGUCACUUUUUGACAUCUAUCAAUAAGGAUAUUUAGACUACGUCCCAUAGCAGCAACAUCACCAUCAAAAAGGCCUUUUACACUAUGUAACAAUAAAAACUUGUUUUUUUUUUUAUUAAUAAUAUCUCUGUAAUUAGGCGAAUUUCAAAAAAGUUUAUAGGACGUUUUUGUCUCCAAAUAUGAUCAGGAAUACGCUGUUAAAAUUAUUCGGUUUACUCAUGUUACACCGUGUAUACUCCUUAUGUUUACUAUAGGUACCUGCUAAGGCUAUGUUUACUAUAGGUAUUGCUAUCUCUUGCACUUAUUCAAACGAGUUUAACCAGAAUAUACAACUCGUCGCGAACCAUAUAACAUCGUUCCCUCUUCUUACUGUUAAUGAAACGACUUUUUUAAUGAACGCAAUAAUACAACGGUUUCGGAACGAUAUUAACGGGUAUUUCAAUAACGGUUGCGAGCCCUGCGUGUAGCCCUGCGAAUGAGGGCCGGUUGCACCAAACUUUUCGUAUCGUUAAAGAGUUCGCUAAAUUUGUAUGUAUGGAAAGUUUCAUAGUGGCGCGCCGGGGCGCGCCGGCUGACGUUGAUCAGUCUGUCAAAUGUGGUUGAUGCAACUGGCCCUAAGUUGAGAUCGUUCGUAUAUUAAGUUACGUAUACUUUGGGUUAAAUCGGAAUCAUUUCAAUGAUUUCAAUAGUACUCAUAGGUCUAAAAUAAAAAUCAUUAUUCUAUAUUAAACUUAUCUCUAUUCAUCGCACGAAUAAUUAAAAACGUGUCGCCCUCCAUAUAAAGUACAUUAAGGUGAAUAUUUAGAAAAACUCUGCAUUUCAAAACUCAUUCUUACAGAGUUGACAACUCGCACUUAAACAUAAAUAACUAAAACAUUAUACUAAUGGGAACGUUUUCUAGUUAUCUAAUUACUAAAAAUACAAAAUAAUGCACAUAAUUAAAUAUACAGUUACUGAUCGAUCAAUUCGAAAACCACCAUUUAGUAUUGAAUUUCUAUUGACAUUGGUUCUUUCCGAAUUAAUAGAUCCAAAUGUCCACAGGCUAACGGCUUUCAUUAGUUAUUUACAAUACAAGGGCGGAGAGUAGGAAAUUCGCAACGAGUGGUGAUGAAUGAGUGGCGGUUCUAUAUGGACACGAGUUGCGAAUUACCUAUUCGCACGUGUAUCGUACAACGUUUUACAGUACAUUAUGGCUGUUUAAAUUUUCGACAUAGGCACGGAAAGUGAUUAUUGCCGCACUAGUGCGGGAAAGUAGCACCUUAUGUACUGUAAAAGUUUUUUUAAUACAGUUGCUCAAAAAGUGCUUCUUUACGUAGCUGUUUAGCGUGCGGAAAGUUGGUUAUCUCGAACUAGUGCUUUUUACUUUUCCAAAUUUUUUAAAUUUAUACUUGUUCCAAUUCACGACUACUUAUUGAUGAGUGUUAAUAUUAGUUUCCUUUAAACGUCGUAAUCAGCAUAAAAACCUACCGUUAAUGUAAGAAUACGAAAAAUAUUACAUAUUUCAUAUUUAAUUACUUACCUCUUCGUCAUUAUAACACGUUUAUUUUUUAAUAUUCAAUAUUGAAAAUUCCGUUCUUAAUAAGUUGACUGAAUGGAACGGAAUAGCUGUCAAACGCCCAUAGAUAUAAUAUACUUAAAGACGACGUCUAACCGAGCUGUCACUGUUACCACUUUUGUUUAGUGUACGAUUAACAAUGUUUUUCUUAUUUUUUCGCAACUGUAUUAAAAAACGUCGUUCGAUACACGUGCGGAAAUGUCAUUCUUCACUCGUCCCGAGUCUUGCCACUCGCCUGCGGCUCGUGGCAAGAUAUCUCGGUACUCGUGAAGUAAUGACAUACCUUCCGCACUAGCAUCGAAAUGUACUAUUACAGUACAUAUGGUCCUAUUUUCUCGCACUAGUGCGUAAAAUAGCACUUUUCGCGCGUACCUAUGUCAAAAGUUUAAAGGGCCAUAUGUACCUACUGUUAAACGUUGUACGAUACACGUGCGAAUAGGUAAUUCGCAACUCGUGUCUAUUUAAUUUAUCGCCACUCGUUUCGAAUUUCCUCUUUUCCGCACUUGUAUCGUAAAUAACUAUUUAAACCUACAAUCGUCCUCACUGAGUUUCAAUUGAAUAUGAUUUAAAUUUCAUCGAGAAGAAGUACAUUAAGUAGGACCUUUAGCAAAAGGAGGACAACUGACAGUUCGUAAGCCUUAUUACAAAAGGCAUAAGGUCCACCGACGGGCAGUUAACGAGGGUUGCUGUUUGUGCUAUGACCUCUCCAAUCGUGGUUUUUUAUACAAUUUAUUUUACACAAUACAAUGCACGACUGAACUAUGUAUAUGCUAUAAUGAUUUGGUCCGAAAUCCCUUUACUAAUACAUACAGGGUGUUUUUAACCCUUAAUCUUCUGCAAGAUUAAUGUACAGUAAACUAGCAGAGAAACUUGUUUGCGGGGGACAGAUAUCUCCGCAGCUACAGUACAUGAGGUACUAGUGCUAAGAUGACAGUUAUUUAGAGCGAUAGAAAACGCUAAUUGAAACUUAUCGCUAAUCGACAGUGGCGGAUUUGCCCUAAGGCACAGUAGGCCCGGGCCUAGGGCGGCAACAUAUUUAGGGGCGGCAAAUUGUGACAAAAAAUUCGCUGAUGGUAACAAGAAAUAACUCAAAAUGUAGUCAAUAUCUCCGUACGUGCCAUACGUCCGGCACGUAUGGAGAUCCAAGAGGGAGGCCUAUGUUCAGCAGUGGACGUCUUAUGGCUGAGAUGAUGAUGAUGUAGUCAAUAUUAUGGGUGGCUUGAAUGGGGCGGCUACAAGGCCUGGGGCCUAGGGCGGCAAUACUGCAAAUCCGCCACUGCUAAUCGAUGUACGAUUGUCGUCUUGACUAGGUCCCCUGGUCAUACUGAUUGAUUAUCUGUUCAAUGAUCAUAAAUCGCAAAGAUACGGGUUGUAAAACAGCCCGCAGCAGCCAAUCAGUGUACCCAACUUUGAAAAUAGCUAAUUAUUCCUCCAUUUUGAUUUUAUAACAUGACAAAUUAUACACGUAAACCUUCCUUAAAAAACACUCUAUUGAUAGGUGAUAACUGCAUGAAAAUCCGUAGUUUUUGAGUUUAUAGCGAAUAUACAAACAGACAGACGCGGUGGGGACUUUGUUGUGUAAGGCGUAAUGAUAACAGGUAAAUCAAAACGAUUUCGCUUAGGAGUCAAUUAGCACAAUUUUCACUUGUUAGCAUAAUUCGUGGUUUAUUUAUGUACAUGAACAUUCGCAAAGACAUUAAGUACAACAACAAUGCAAAAGGAAGCGAAAGAGGUACAGAUGUAGUACAUAAUUAAAUUCCCAUCGUAUUUUUACGGAAAUAUACGAACGUGUCUUGCUAUUUCAGUCAGUCUCGGUACAAAAAGUACUGACGUUGACUGAAGUAGCAUGACGAAUAUGAACGUUUCAGAAAAAAUAUGAUGGAAACAAUUAUGCAGUACAUCUGUAUGUCAGGAUGGUAGCAAGUGGAUAUCCGUGGUCUCUGCCUACCCCUCCGGGAAAUAGCCGUAUGUAUGUAUGCAAGGAAAAGCAAAGACAUAUAUUAACAUAGUAACCCCCUCAUUCAUAAACGCGCUACAAACCUCAAUUAGCUAAUAGUCGUUUGUCCUUAUCUGUCAUUUUGACUAUUUGUAAGAAAGGGGUAUAACAUAAUUUAACUAAAUCAUGCCCGUAAAGUUUUAUGAAUAAGGGGUUUAGACUGUAUAUGUUUCAAAGCACCAUUUUACGGACACUCGUACGUGUUUAUUCGUUUUUAACGCCUGUCUGACUGUAGUUGAAUAUCUCUUUGUUUUUCAAUCAAUGUUUCGUACUUAGUACAUUUAACGUACAAUUUAAACUUUAGUAUAAUUUUACACAAUUUUUUUGCGUAUUUUAUACAUCACGUGUAAAGUCAGCAGAAGUUGCUAAACGGGCGAAGUGUUCAAAAUUAGCUAGGCACGCUCUUAUUCUCUUUGCAAUAAAGCGUCCAGAUCACAUUGAGCACCCGGCCCAUGCCUGGCUCGCUAAGCAACUUCUGCUACCGAGGGUACUUAUUCCAGUUGAUUCAGGAUAUUUAUAGUACAUUUAGUAUGAGAUUUAUUUAACCUUUUGAACGACAAACGGCGCAUCCAUUUGCCGUGCCACUGACGCCACGGGGGUAAAAUUUAGUUUUGUGAAUAAAUAAUGCCAACCUAAAAGGGGAGUGUUUUUCAGUAGAUUUUCAUCAAAAAACGAUCGACGUCAAAUGCCGUCUUUCGCGUCGUUGUCACGAUUUUGCGUUGACGUCAAUUGCCGUCUGUGGCGUUCAAAAGGUUAAAACAGACAUUAUUUGAUUGUGUAUUUACCGCUUAUAGGUAUAGGUACGUCUAAAUGGGUCAUGUAUCCAAAAUGAUCUUCACACACUUAUUUGCUUAGCAAAGUUAAUAAAGUAGUAAACUUAACACUGCCCUCCUAAGCUAAAAGGCCGUAUUUUCAAAGAAAACUAUAUGCAAAUGCCGCUUUUUAGCUUAGGAGGGCAGAACACCUCUGUUGCUGUCUGUAUGCAUACUAUGUAUGUUAUGGAACUUAUGGAGAACCGCCUGAAUACCAAACGCCAACAACGUAAAGAGGGACCGAAGCCCUCCCACGCGUACACGUACACAGCGUUUUGCCAACUCUAUUGUACUCGUAACACCUGCAGAAGAGUUUUUAAGACCAAGCUUGGCCUGGCCAGCCACAUUCGGGCCCAUAAGAGGCGUAAUCCGUUAUUAAUGAGGUCACCGUAAUCGAAAUCGAAUAUAUAUACACACUAAUAAUAUACAUAUUAUUAUGUAUUUGUCUAUAUAUUAUUAUUAGUGUAUGUAGAGCACACUUCACCCGUGUAAAAGUCGUUAGUGUCACGGUAAACGUCUCUGCCGUCACUGAGUCACGUUAUAUUCAUGUUGUCACUAUUGCAUGCCGGUAUAGCCCGUUAUAGCCAUGUCACUAGUUGCAUGCCGGUUUAGCCCCGGGCCUCUAGCAUCUCGUAAUCUUCGUCAUUUUCACCCUCGUCGUCUUC